UUUAGAGUUUGUUCAUGGCUCUGGAUGAACGCUGGCGGCGUGCCUAAUACAUGCAAGUCGAGCGAACAGAUGAGAAGCUCGCUUCUGUGAUGUUAGCGGCGGACGGGUGAGUAACACGUGAGUAACCUACCUAUAAGACUGGGAUAACUCCGGGAAACCGGUGCUAAUACCGGAUAAUAUUUUGAACCGCAUCGUUCAAUAGUGAAAGACGGUUUCGGCUGUCACUUAUAGAUGGACCCGCGCCGUAUUAGCUAGUUGGUAAGGUAAUGGCUUACCAAGGGGACGAUACGUAGCCGACUUGAGAGGGUGAUCGGCCACACUGGAAAUGAGACACGGUCCAGACUCCUACGGGAGGCAGCAGUAGGGAAUUUUCCGCAAUGGGGGAAAGCCUGACGGAGCAACGCCGCGUGAGUGAUGAAGGUCUUCGGAUCGUAAAACUCUGUUGUUAGGGAAGAACAAAUUUGUUAGUAACUGAACAAGUCUUGACGGUACCUAACCAGAAAGCCACGGCUAAAUACGUGCCAGCAGCCGCGGUAAUACGUAGGUGGCAAGCGUUAUCUGGAAUUAUUGGGCGUAAAGCGCGCGUAGGCGGUUUCUUAAGUUUGAUGUGAAAGCCCACGGCUCAACCGUGGAGGGUCAUUGGAAACUGGGAAACUUGAGUGCAGAAGAGGAGAGUGGAAUUCCAUGUGUAGCGGUGAAAUGCGCAGAGAUAUGGAGGAACACCAGUGGGGAAGGCGGCUCUCUGGUCUGUAACUGACGGUGAUGUGCGAAAGCGUGGGGAUCAAACAGGAUUAGAUACCCUGGUAGUUCACGCCGUAAACGAUGAGUGAUAAGUGUGUAGGUGGGGUUUCCGACGCCCUGUACUUGCUGCAGCUAACGCAUUAAGUCAUUCCGCCUGGGGAGUACGACCGCAAGGUUGAAACUCAAAGGAAUUGACGGGGACCCGCACAAGCGGUGGAGCAUGUGGUUUAAUUCGAAGCAACGCGAAGAACCUUACCAAAUCUUGACAUCCUUUGACCGCUCUAGAGAUAGAGUCUUCCCCUUCGGGGGACAAAGUGACAGGUGGUGCAUGGUUGUCGUCAGCUCGUGUCGUGAGAUGUUGGGUUAAGUCCCGCAACGAGCGCAACCCUUAAGCUUAGUUGCCAUCAUUAAGUUGGGCACUCUAGGUUGACUGCCGGUGACAAACCGGAGGAAGGUGGGGAUGACGUCAAAUCAUCAUGCCCCUUAUGAUUUGGGCUACACACGUGCUACAAUGGAUAAUACAAAGGGCAGCGAAUCCGCGAGGCCAAGCAAAUCCCAUAAAAUUAUUCUCAGUUCGGAUUGUAGUCUGCAACUCGACUACAUGAAGCUGGAAUCGCUAAUAAUCGUAGAUCAGCAUGCUACGGUGAAUACGUUCCCGGGUCUUGUACACACCGCCCGUCACACCACGAGAGUUUGUAACACCCGAAGCCGGUGGAGUAACCUUUUAGGAGCUAGCCGUCGAAGGUGGGACAAAUGAUGUGGGGAUGAAGUCGUAACGAGGUAGCCGAA
rnacentral:rRNA from 1 species